UGCCACCAGAUUGGACAAAUCGACGUUUGCAUCUUUGUUUACAAAGUCACAUACGUCCUUUUGAAUAAGUACUCGAGAUUUUGUGGCUAUCAGAUCGAUUACUCCAACGCGUGCUUCAAGUUAGAACAAUUUUGUUUUGUGAAAAUGAUUUCUAAUUCAUCAUCGAAAAUUGAUAAAAGUAUUAUGCCGGUUACAGUGCAAAGAUGACGACCGUUUUGCCAAACACAUGACGAAACACGGGCGCAUAUUUGGUUUCAUUCGUCAGGUUGAUGACUACAUUCUGGAGGAAUCGAGUUUUUCCGUGCGUUUGGACUACCGUCCCGAUUACGCCAGAACGUUGGUGUACGUGCGGAACGUGUCACCCCAUUCGGUGUUGCUAAGUACAAAAUCGAUGAAGCUAGACUAGUGCCCGGUAUUUCAGAGAAGUACUAUCGUUUGUCGAUCGAUCAAUUUCAAACGGCACCCACCCAGUCGGCUCUUAUUUCAGCUGGAAUACUAUGUCCUAUCUUUGGUGAAGGAAACUGACUUUGAAAAAACAUUGUUCCCUAAGCCACCGAUGGAAAAGAAGAUCAUAUACGAGAGCUUUCAAUGGUUCAACAAAUCACGAGCAGCUGUCUGCUAUGCGAAAUAUCGUGAAUCGGACUUCGUUCCCUGCUCCGUACAUAUUAUUUGGACCACCCGGUACUGGAAAAACUUCAACUAUCGUAGAGGCAGUUUUACAAAUUUGGAAACUACAACCCAAUGCCAACGUUCUCGUAUCGGCAGCUUCAAAUUUCGCCUGUGAUGAAUUCACCACGCGCCUGCUGGAAUUCAUUCCCGCCACCGAUGUGUUCCGUUUCGUAUCCUUCGUAUCGAUUUUGCUGAUAACGGAACAACACCAUCGUUCUCAAAAGAGCAGUGGAGGUUUUGAGGAAGGUGGUGAGUAUCGUUGCGGCCCCGACUACGAAUAUCCGGAAGGCGGUGCAUCAUACGAGGAAAAUUCAUCGUACGGCUAUGGUGGAAGACCGUUCCGCGGCCGUGGAGGAUUCCGCGGACGUGGUGGUUUCCGUGGCGGUUUUCAUCGUGAUGGCCCACCGCACCACGGGGACAAUGAUGAAUGGCGUCGAUCAGGAGUCGAUGGCAAAUAUGAUUCACGUCGUCGUUCGUGAACCAGGAAUCGAUAGAUCUCGCUCCCGUUCACCGAGGCGACGCAGUCCUGCUGAUUCUGAUUCGUCUUCUUGUAGGAAUGGCAUGUUAUCAAAUGCAAGAACGUUACGAAGAAGUGGCACGGAAAUCUACCACAGUCUGGCAAGGGGCGCUGAUUUUGAACACUAUUCCCCGCCAAGUUGCACCUAACGGACAGAGACCACGAAAUAGUGGACAGCCUGAUGAAGGACGAGGAAGGUAAACACCACCUUCGUAUUACUCAGCGACUAGGCCUCGAUCAACCCAAGUUGGAAAAUGUGCAGAAGCGCAUAUCGACGUCAUCGUCGCACGCAAUCUUCCUCGGCCUGCCGGGAUCGACGUCAUCGGUAGCAUCGUCGGAUGAUGCCAGCGUUCAGACGCGUCCACUGCGUAAUCUCGUGUCCUACCUGAAGCAGAAAGAAGCGGCCGGCGUUAUAUCCUUACUCAAUAAAGAAACGGAAGCAACCGGUGUGCUCUACUCAUUCCCGCCAUGCGAUUUUUCGACUGAAUUGUUGAAACAAACAUGUCACAACCUCACCGAGGAGGGACUGAAGGAAGACCAUCUGGUAAUCGUGGUGGUCCGAGGAGGAACAAUCCUCUGGAGUGCCUUCUUUCUGGUAUUGCAGCAACUAGUCCAUAUUGGCACA